rnacentral:rRNA from 1 species
AACGAACGCUGGCGGCAGGCUUAACACAUGCAAGUCGAGCGCCCCGCAAGGGGAGCGGCAGACGGGUGAGUAACGCGUGGGAAUCUACCCAUCUCUACGGAAUAACGCAUGGAAACGUGUGCUAAUACCGUAUACGUCCUUCGGGAGAAAGAUUUAUCGGAGAUGGAUGAGCCCGUGUUGGAUUAGCUAGUUGGUGGGGUAAAGGCCUACCAAGGCGACGAUCCAUAGCUGGUCUGAGAGGAUGAUCAGCCACACUGGGACUGAGACACGGCCCAGACUCCUACGGGAGGCAGCAGUGGGGAAUAUUGGACAAUGGGCGCAAGCCUGAUCCAGCCAUGCCGCGUGAGUGAUGAAGGCCCUAGGGUUGUAAAGCUCUUUCACCGGUGAAGAUGAUGACGGUAACCGGAGAAGAAGCCCCGGCUAACUUCGUGCCAGCAGCCGCCGUAAAAC